rnacentral:rRNA from 1 species
AUUGAACGCUGGCGGAAUGCUUUACACAUGCAAGUCGAACGGCAGCACGGGGCAACCUGGUGGCGAGUGGCGAACGGGUGAGUAAUACAUCGGAACGUGCCCAAUCGUGGGGGAUAACGUAGCGAAAGUUACGCUAAUACCGCAUACGAUCUACGGAUGAAAGCGGGGGAUCGCAAGACCUCGCGCGAGUGGAGCGGCCGAUGUCAGAUUAGGUAGUUGGUGGGGUAAAGGCUCACCAAGCCAACGAUCUGUAGCUGGUCUGAGAGGACGACCAGCCACACUGGAACUGAGACACGGUCCAGACUCCUACGGGAGGCAGCAGUGGGGAAUUUGGACAAUGGGCGCAAGCCUGAUCCAGCCAUUCCGCGUGCAGGAUGAAGGCCUUCGGGUUGGUAAACUGCUUUGUUACGGAACGAAACGGACGGAAGCUCUAAUUACAGUUUGCUAAUAGAGGUACCGUAAGAAUAAGCACCGGCUAACUACGUGCCAGCAGCCGCGUAAACG